AUCGCCUUUGUAACUGUGUCUUCGGUGUUUGGAGUUGUUGUAGCAGCUGUAAUAGUAUUAAGUGUGCUGAUCAUCAGAAGGAAACAUCCCCAAUUUGUUGGAGAAACUCGUGCUAAUAGAGAGUCGUCUUCUCACGAAACGUACGACGACUUGUCGCCAAAUUCAACGAACCCUAACUUCUAUGACGACCUGCAAAUGUCAUGAACACAGAAGAACAACAGUAUUAUACAACUGUAUACAAAAUGGACAGUGCACAAACAAGGGAAACUAAUUAUUAUCAGCCCAAGGUGACGAAGACAGCACUGAGCAGCUGAAAACCUGACGAACAUACACAGUCGAUAAAGAACAAUUGAUACCCAUGCGGAGAAAGCUAACAUUUCAAUGCGUACAUCUGAAAUUAGGAUCUAAGUCCCCACAUGACACAAUCAUAGACAUACGAUGGCAACACAGCAACCAACAAUGGAUCAAGUGUCAUGUGAAAAUGCCUUCACGUUUGCGUUCAAAAAUCAACUAAAAAAUGUUCUCUUGUUCUAUAAUCAUACCGAUCAUCAAGGUAACUUUACCUAUCUGAUUUUAUUAAUGUUGAAUAACUACGGUAAAAUAAAAGAUACUGCACUAAUUUACUUAUUUAAUUAUACAAAUCUAGCACAACUAUGGUAUGAUGAACUUGUAUCACGGUUGAUGUAUAUUGCAGUAUCGUCUUGUUGAGUUCAUACGCCAUUUUUACAAUCAGUGACAUCUACAGAAACAGGUUUAUUUUUCUAUGCUUCUUGUUAUCCACUUAAUAAAGAUAAUACUAAACAGCAUAAACAGAAACUGAACAUUAUAUACACUUUGUACAUAGGUAGUAUUGGAAUCACACAAAUAUGUUAAAAUUUAUCAAAAUCUUACAAACUGACAACGCAAAAACAAUAAGAAAUAUUGCAACAUUUAUUUUUAAAGCAGCUAAAUUGAUGAAUGAAUUGUAUUUUCAAUAGUUUCGCUCCGUAUAUUACUGUCUAUUUGUAGCCAUAGCAAUACAAGCGAUGUGUAUACACAUUCUUAGAACAUUCAAGUUUAUUUGAAUAAGAUACGACUCUACAAUAUGCAUAUACAUCCUUAAAUUAGUACGUUACUGUACAAUGUGUUAUAAAUAUAUAUACAUGUUAAAAAAUGCUAUUUAUUUUCAAUAUGCAUGUCUUGAGAGUUGUGCAUUCCUUUUAUUGUUAAUUCUAAAGUUAUAUUGCUUAAAUUAUAUAUGUAUAUGCCUGUAUGUCAUUACACAUUGUUGACUACAUUGAUGAUUGUGUGUUAAAUGUAUGUGUAAUCAUUGGCUUCAAUCCUAAUGUAUUCUGAAAUUAAACCAUAAAACCAUAUCUUAUAACAUAAUAUGACAAUUUAAAUACCAUAUUAGUACAGGUUGAUUGCUGAAAGAAUGCCAAUAUUUUUUUUUCGAUGUAUGUACAAACAAAGAGUAAACCCAGUUAAUUGUGUGUGAUCAUAAUUAUGGUGUGUACAUAUUCAUAGUCUACAUUCAAAAGUUUACCAUAUGGCAUUAUCUAUGAGGCUAUGUAUUUAGAAAUAUAUAUCAAUCUUGUUUGGGACAAACUUGUUGACAGAUAAUGUCACCAAUAAGUGCCUCUUAUUUGCGCUCAAAGUUAUAUAAGUAAUGUUAUUUGUUAAUAAGAAUAUGUUUACAAUUUAUUCAUAGUAAUAUGUUAUACAAUGUUGAAUAUAAUUUAUCAAAAUACUUAUGUUAAAUAUAUACAUUUACAUUGAAUAGCCUAACAUUAAACUAAUCAAACCAAUCAAAAUAAGUGCUGACCGUAUUCAGUAUCCCGUAUCAAAUUGUGUCAAGUGCGUGUACGUUUAGUGUAUGUAUAAUGAUGAAAUGGUAGCAUUCAUAAUUUAUUUAAUGAUUGUACAUAUAUUAUAAUUUUGUUGAUUCUAGUUCGUUAAUUGUAGUUUCAUAGAGUGAUUAUUAUCAAUUAGUUUUCAUAACCAGUGUUAAUGCUUGCCAGGCUCCCUUAUUGGGUGAAUGAAUUAAAUUGGUAGUAUUUUAAAGAUAUUUAAUAUGUUAUCGAGUGUUGAUAAUUUGUGUGAAUCAUUGAGUGUUUGACUAAAUAUAUAAAGCGGCUGAAGAUAACAUAACACAUAAUAAUUCUGAAUAAAUAAAUUCUUCGCCAAUAAAAUAAGCAUAACGCGUAUUACUACUACUACAGUUUGAUUUUCCUUUUUUGGGAAUACUUAAGAAGAAAUUUGUAAACAGAAUAUGACGUAUUGAUAAUUUUUUAGUAAACAAAUACAAAAUAUUUGUGUGUACAAGACGAUCUGCUAUAUUCCAAUAUGUAAUUCUUCACUUUUUGUUGAUGUUUGUAAACAUGUUAUCGUAUCAUUGUUUUGUGUGUAUAUUAUUACUGUUUGUGUGUGUGUAUCAGGCCAGGUGUAUGUGCCUGUACGUGUUUGAGCUCUUGACACUUAGACUUCAAUGUGAAUGAAUACCAUCGAGUGAGCUAAAUUAAGUGGUCGUGAGUAUGGUCGGCCUUACGUGUUGAAUUUCUUCUGCAAAUGUUCUUUGCUCUUCAUAUCUGUUCAUUGAUACCUGUUAUUUAUCCUACAUCUACAUUCAAAACAAAAGCAAUAUUCUCAUUCUACAUAAAAUGAAUAACUAAGG